GUGAGGUUGAAGCAUCAGAAUGCCAACAUGCGACUGGAUUCUAGAAUGGAGAUCCAGGGAGGCAGAUGGAAAUGAAAAUCACUCAACAUAAAGGGAAAGCAAAACCACCAGGAUUACAAAGAGAAAUUGACAAGCCCGCUGUCUGAGUGGGAGAUUUUAACGAUCUAUCAGACACAGCUACAUCAAGCAGACAAAAAACAGAGGUCAGCUGGUAUACCGCUCAACUUACAGCAUGAUUUGGUUGCCAUCGGGCUAUAUGGACACCUCUCCCUUCAUGGAGAAAUGCUAAAAUCACAGAAGUCCUGCUAUCACAAUGCUGUUGGGAUCUUCUUCUCUAUCAUGUAAGCUGAAAGAGGGAUCCCUGGGUGGCGCAGCGGUUUGGCGCCUGCCUUUGGCCCAGGGCGCGAUCCUGGAGACCCGGGAUUGAAUCCCACAUUGGGCUCCCGGUGCAUGGAGCCUGCCUCUCCCUCGGC